CAUCGGACUGACAUCUCUUUCUGUGUCUAUCUAUAACAUCAAACUGCCAUGUCUAUCUGUGUCCCACCCUUUCUGAAGGACAGCACUGAAAAUUUCUUAUUGUGAAUUUCAGUUUUCCAGAUUCCCAAGUAUUACAAGACACAACUUAGAGACCUCAAAAUGACAAAGAAUGAACUGCAUGCAAAUUUCUCAAGCAUGCUACUGGCAAUAGGAAAUCAACUGUGCUUGGAAGGGGAAACCAACCUUAAAAAUAAUGGCCAGAACUGUGUACUCUGCCCUACAAACUGGAAUUGGGAAGGUGGCAAUACAUGUUACUACUACGGCAAGGAAGCAAAGUCAUGGGAACAGAGUCGCCAGUUUUGUUCCGCACAAAACUCUACUCUUCUUCUGAUAAAAGAGGCAGAGAAGCUGGAACUGGCAAAAAAAAAAAAUCCUGAAAGCCAAUUCUUGUUUGGAUUAACAUUUAGAGACAAACAGAGAGACUGGUAUUGGGAAGACAACACAGCUCUUACAAAAGAACAAAAGUCUUGACAUACGUAAAAAUAUCUUCAUACUAAAGAAAUGGGCAUGGUGAUGGACUCCAGGAGUGACCCAAGUCUGUUGUUCCAGAUACAAAACUGCCAAAUGAUUACUCAGUUUUAACCAAUACAAGUGAUGGACAAAAUGACC